AUUUAAUCUGAGUGGAGCAUUAAUACGUGCACGAACAGAAUCAAUCUAUUUCCUCUAUACUGGCAGUUCCUCAUUUAAUAUGGACAAAUUUGUCGCUACGUCGA